AGAUUGAACGCUGGCGGCAUGCCUUACACAUGCAAGUCGAACGGCAGCACGGGAGCAAUCCUGGUGGCGAGUGGCGAACGGGUGAGUAAUAUAUCGGAACGUGCCCAGUCGUGGGGGAUAACGCAGCGAAAGCUGUGCUAAUACCGCAUACGAUCUAUGGAUGAAAGCGGGGGGAUCGCAAGACCUCGCGCGAUUGGAGCGGCCGAUAUCAGAUUAGCUAGUUGGUGGGGUAAAAGCCUACCAAGGCGACGAUCUGUAGCUGGUCUGAGAGGACGACCAGCCACACUGGAACUGAGACACGGUCCAGACUCCUACGGGAGCAGCAGUGGGGAAUUUUGGACAAUGGGCGCAAGCCUGAUCCAGCAAUGCCGCGUGCAGGAUGAAGGCCUUAGGGUUGUAAACUUGCUUUUGUACGGUAACGAAACGGUUCUACUCUAAUACAGGGGCUAAAGUGACGGUACGUAACGAAUAAGCAACCGGCUAACUACGUGACCG
rnacentral:rRNA from 1 species